CAGUUUGUGCGAGGCAACAUGGUAAGCACGAGUGGAUCAUUGGUGCAGAUCGCACCGCGCAUCUACACUACUAUUAAAAGAGCAAUCUACAUCUACAUCUACAUCUACACUACUAUUAAAAGAGCAAACAUUACUUAUCCUAAACCCACGCGGAUUAGUGUACACAGGACAAUCAGUACCCUAGGAUCUAUUCCACUUAACGACAUCUAAGGGUCAGUUUCGCCUCCAUCUACACUACUAUUAAAAGAGCAAACAUUACUUAUUCUAAACCCACGCGGAUUAGUGUACACAGGACAAUCAGUACCCUAGGAUCUAUUCCACUUAACGACAUCUAAGGGUCAGUUUCGCCUCCAUGGUCUGCCAACCAAUUGGAUGGCCCAGAUUCGAUGUUCUGCCACCGUACGUCCUGCCCCGCGCACGUCCGUCUUCAACCCAACCGCCCCUCGCAUCCCUUCAUUCUCGCAGGCACACGCGGGAGUUGUUGCCGCCGCCGAGCACGUGGGCUCCGCCGCCCUACCGCCAGACGUGGACGCACGCGGCCGUCGCCGUCGCCGCCGCCGGGCACGUGGCCUCCGUCGCCCCGCCAUCUGGCGUGGAAGCACGCAGCCGUGGUUGUCGCCGCCGCCGUCCGAUGUGGACUCUGGCCGUAGCCGCCACCGGGCACGUGGCCUCCGCCGCCCAACCUGGACACACGUGGUCGUGGCCGUUGCCGCCGCGGCGGGCCUGGCCUCCGCCGGCCUGCUGCCCGGCGUGGACGCACGCGGCCGUGGCCUCCGUCGCCCAGCCGCCGGGGACGUGUACGCACGCGGGCGUGGCCGCUGUCAGGGACAUUGGCGCACACGGUAGAGAAAAGCUCCACCGCAACCUCUGUCGUAAGAAUAAGAUUAUUUCUCCUAUCUCUAAUCUACUUGCAAUCUGACAUCCAUUGCCAAUUUGGCUUUCUGGAAAUUCGGUGGCACAUGAAUUCUAAUUCUAAUUUGAACAUGGAGCACUAUUUUUUUUUUCUUGUGAUAACCACCAAGCACGAACAUGCAGUGCAUGUAUAGCUCUUGCCGAGUGAAAUUUUUAUAUCAUAUUCCGUUGUCAAUUUACCCUUUGUUUGAGGACAAUAGGCUGUUCUCACAUUAGCAUACAUCUAAACUUCUAGAUUCAUUUUUAAUACAUGGUCGUUUGAAGCACCCAUCUUUGUACUGUUUUGUGUGUGUAUGUAUGGUUUUUUUUCCUUCUUCUGAAAGAAUCAUAUAUGCUUCGAGUUAGACUGAUGGGCAAUGCUAGAAAUCACUUGGAAGUUACAGGUGUGUUGGUGCAGAUUGCUUAAAAAAACUUUCAUGUAUCACUUUAUUGUAACUCUGACGUUUAAUUUGUGUUCAAUUAUCUGUAGUACAACCUAACUAUUUGAUCUUCGGGAUGCUAAUUUGUGCACACACAGAAUAAAAACCGGUAGCGAUGACAAUGUUUCCUGUCAAGAUCAAUACCUGCUACAUAUGCAUUGUUUCCUGUGAUGAUCAAUUCCUGCUACACCUACACUAGAUCCUGUGAUGCAUUGCGAGGCCUGGAACGACUUUAAUUUUGAAUAUAUUUUUAGUUUCGGAGCUGUUUAGUCCAGCAAUGAAACACAGGUCAUUAUCCAGUCUGCUCGCACGAUUGGCACACACAGCCACCGCCGACCAUCGUUAUCCGGCCAUAAUCCCGACGUCCUCCUCGCAUCACCCUGCUGUGUGCCCCUGGCCGAUUGCCUCGAUACGCCAUCCAAGCGCGCGUGGCCACAAAAGCUCUUCAUCAUGGUAAGGCGCAGGUACACGACGACAAGCUGCAGAACAACGAGCAGCUCGACAGUGGAGUACCGACGCGAUACUUGUCAUGGGGAAUCGGGAAGCAUAAUCAUAGCCCACUGUGUUGUAUAUUCUUUUCUCCAAUGAGGGUCAGCUGCAUGACCAAUUGAUUUCUCCCUUCUAUCUGAUUGCCAGUCUGCUGAAGACUUUCGGAUAAUUUGUAUGUCUUUUUGGACUGGUCAUUACUUUCUGAAAUUAGGUACGAUGAUUUGGAGGAAUUGAUGUGUAUGCACUGUUGUUACAUUGCAGGAUAGUGAAUUGUGAUAAUUUUACUAUUGUGUAUACUCUGUUCUACAUCAAAUUUUCCUUUAGCAUCUUAAAGAUAUUUCUCCACUUCAUUCUUGUUACUCCCUCUGUAAACUAAUAUAAGAGUGUUUAGAUCACUACUUUAGUACUCUAAACGCUCUUACAUUAGUUUACGGAGGGAGUACUUUAUUUGCAGCCUGGUUAUAUGUUGUUUGUGCUCUCUCAUUACUAUCUCAGGCCUAUUAAUCCAUAUAUUAAUUGUUCCUGAAUUUCUACAGGCUCCCCUGAUCACCAUAUUUAUUUGGAAGCUACUAGAACAAGUCAAUCUUAGUUUGGGCUAUGUUGCAGCAAUAGGCCUGUGCUUUUUAAUCGUGUUUUAGCUGUUCAUUUCAAGUGCACUAAAAAUCGACAUGUUUCAUAUUCCUCCAACGGUUUUGAGGUUCCGUACUUAACUCUUGCAUUUUGGUUACUGUAGAGGAGUAUGUUCAUAUGGUCAAGGCUGGUAUCAUCGACCCUGUAAAAGUGAUCCAAAAUGCACUUCAAGGUGCAGAAUGGUACAACUUCAGUUCUCUAACCAUGUACUUUAUGUAUGGCCAUGACAGAAGUAAUCAGACUUGUUUGACAAUUUGUGUUUCUGUACAAUGUUUAUCCAUUGAUCACAACCAUAGAGGUUGCAGAUGAACGACGGGUUUUGAGGACAGUGUGGCAUGAUGCUUGCGUGAAUUGUAUUAGGGUGCACGCAUUCUGUCCAACGGGAUUUGACUGUAAAUCUCUGUUCAUUACUUCAGGUGUGCAUUGAGCAUACAUGAUUUGCCUGAUGAUAACAAUUGAUUGGCAGGUUUGGAUUAUAUUUUUUUUUCGUGGGUCAGGUUUGGAUUAUAUCUAACUAGAAAAAGAUAACAACACGAGUGCUCAAGGUGAUGAAUAUGUUCACCUACAUUGCAACGGGCCAUAAAUAUUUUGUGUACCCACUAAUUUUUUGUUGUUGAUUCUGUUUAAGUAUAUUCUUGCUAAUUAGGAUCAAAA